GUACUCAAUUCAGCAGCACGUAUACUAAAAGUGAAAUUAUACAGAGAAGAUUAGCAUGGUCCCUGCUCAAGGAUGGCAUACAAAUUAGUGAAGUGUUUCAUAUUUUU
ensembl:snRNA U6 U6 spliceosomal RNA